UUCUUUCUUUCCUUCCUUCCUUCCUUCCUUCCUUCCUUCCUUCCUUCCUUCCUUCCUUCCUUCCUUCCUUCCUUCUCUUCAUUAUGACUUAUUUUAUAGCUGGAAGUUUGUGCCCUUUCACCCCGCAAGUGCAUAAUUUUUUAAAGAAAAACGAUAUGAUGGCCUAAUAUAAACAAGUUAAAUAGAGUAAAAUCCUAAGUGUCUUUUAUCCUUUCUGUGUCCAGUCAGAAAACAAACCACUCUAAGUAUUUCAAAAGAAGCAAGUUAAUCUAGGGAACUGGUUAUAAAGGUUUGGGCAGGGCUGGAUGAGCAUAUGGGGGAAGGUAGGGUUAUCCAGGAUUAGUAACUACAGGAACUCACUACCCCCUGGAGCUGGAGAAGCAAAGGGGAAAAUGAUGUCCCCCAGAGCCUCCGCAUACAAGGCCACGGUGUCUGCCCCCCUGCACACCACACCGGGCACACCACACGACCCAAAAGACAGGGGGAAAAGGGGUCUUCCUGAUCUCUUCCAUUCCCCAGUGCCUCCCAUUGGCAGACCCUCAGAGAAGCCAGAUGGGAAGGAAUCUGGAAGCUGUAACUUGGAGGUUUCUGGCCCUAGAGGUGGAGAGCAGGGCUCACAAGGGAUGUACAGAGCCAACAGAUAAUAGUUUCAAUUUGCAAAUUUUUAGGCACAACUACAUUUGAAGAUAUAAUGAAGAUGCCAGAUGCUUGAAUCUGCAUUUAAAUAAGUUAGGAUUUAAUGGAAGUAAAACAAAGUUCCACGGAAUGUUACAGACACUUUCUGUAUCUGACUUUCGGAAAGAAAAGGUGGAAGAGUGGAUUCCCAUAUAUGUAUAAUCACUAUGAAUGCAGUGACUACAGCAGAGAUCCAAGUGGCUGUAGUGGUGACUCAAAGGUUAUGGGCGGCUUUGCCAUUCCCGGUGAGAUUUCGAAACAGUUGAGUUGACAAUUUAUAGUAAAAAGUGUAAACAAACCAGAGCUCAUUAGUUGCAUUGUUACAAAAUUCAGUGUAUACUUAAAUCAUGCCAAAAAGCCUCGUGUUUAUAUGUCAAGUGGAGUUAGGUCUGGAGCUGAAAUCAUUAGGAAUAGGUUUUUUCCCCACCUUCAUGAAUAUCCAUCAGGACAUUCAAAAUUUGAGCAGGACUAAGGAUUAUAGAACAUCCAGUUUCCUGGUCUCUUCCCUUCUAAGUGCCCUUUGCAUAUCCACCCCCUAUCCCCCCCCCCACCUUCACCCCCGUUGUUGUAACAACUAAAAACGCCUCCACAGAUUUUUGGUCCUCUCUUGAGCAGCAGUACAGCUGUUAAGAGCACAGAUGUAGUUGUGCAGUCUUGAUACAGAAGUAUUAUGAGAUAUCAAAUAGAAAUUAGGUUAUAGAAUGUUGCCUUUCAUUAUUUUAGGAAGUAUUUGUCCAUGCAUAUGAGAAAAGGCUUGGUAUUUAUAAGCCGAAAUGUUAACAGUGGUUAUUCCUUUUGUUGGAAUUUGAGGAAUAGUUUUUUUGGUUUUUUCUGUUUUUAAAUUUUUUUUCGACUUGAGAAAUUUUAGAACGCAUUCAAGGGGGUGGGGGGAGAAAAAGGUUAGGUCAGGCAGGCGUAUCAGUGAGGAUCCUUCUGGGCUCAUAGGAACAGUCAGACCCUAAAUCUGUCCAUGGGGACUGACCCAAGUACCUGAUACGAGCACUUGCUCAGACAAACUUUGGUUCUACCAGAAAUGCCACCUCCUUCCUGCACACAAACCACUCUUUGCUGCUCACUGUUCCUUCGGGAUGGUGAACAGAGCAUGUCCUUCCUGAUGUGGGUCCAAAUGGGGUCAUACUAGUUUUUUGGCUUCAUAGCACAGCAGUUUCUUUAAGAAUAGGAGCCCGCUGAACUCACCCUCAUGCCCGCCCCGUCAAUCUCAGGUAUGAAUCGCCAAACUGGGAGACUGAGUCCCAAGCUUGGACAACAUUUUCCAUCCUCGGGCCAAAAUGGGGGGCAUCAGCAAGAUGUAGCACGUUCAGUGGGUUGCGUGCUGGAAGCUUGUGGCGGGCCUGAUACUGUGGGCCCUACCAAGAAGACCGAAGAAGGAUGAUAGGAUAGGGGCGCCCAUGUGUUGGCAGGUCCCAGCAUUUUCCAACUGACUUCUCAUUGGGAUUUAACCCAACACACUGUCUCCAGUCCAAGCUGCCAGCCUCCAAAACCUCUGUCCUGCACAGGACCUUGUGCGGGGAUCUCCAGGCAGGGCGUGGGCGUGCCCGACACUCACACAUCUCCCAGACCUGAACGCCUGGGCCGAGACAAGGGAUAGUUUCCAGAUGUGGGCUUCACAUCUGGGCCAGCCAUCAGAAGGCUGCUUAUUUGAACAAAGACUGGAAGUACUCAAAGAGCCCCGAGGUCCAGAGAAGGCUGCCAAGAGCUGGCGAGCAGAUGAGUGGAGAACAGACCUCAAUUUAUGGUUCCAGGAGAGGAAGAAAGCCGUGCUUUGUGGUCCCGCACGGAUACGUGUGAAGCAAGGCAUCCUGCUCCUUCAGGAUGGGCAGUGGCUCUGUUCGUAGGAUUAAAAUCAGGGGCUUCGAUUCUAGGAUGAGCAGAAUUCUGAACUGAGGGUGCACUCCCAUUUCCAGCGUGGCACCUCGACCUUCCCCCCCUUUCCACACCGCCUCAUAACUGGCGUUCUGUGGAAAUACUGUGGAAAUAGAAAAUCUUACAAUUUUAUGGCUUGGUGUGGGCCCUUUCAACCCAUCAUCCCCACCGGACACACACUUCCUUUUUGAAAAUUUGUUCUAAAUGUUUAUUUUUGAGAGCGCGAGCGAGCGACAGAGAGCGAGUGGGGGAGGGGCAGAGAGAGAGAGGGAGACACAGAAUUUGAAGCAGGCCCCGGGCUCUGAGCGGUCAGCACAGAGUCUGACACGGGGUUCGAACUCACAAGCUGUGAGAUCACGACCUGAGCUAAAAGCCGGGUACUUAACUGACUGAGUCACCCAGGCGCCCCAUUUCCUUUUAUAGGUAACCCUGUGACUUGGGCACAUUCCCCACUUGACUGGAGGAGCUGAGAAGAAUAGGUCCGUUACCAGUCCUCUUUGGAGGGCGUCAGCGAGAUCGGCACACCUUGGAGCAGAUUCUUACGUUCCUACAAAGUGCAGAAGUGUACUCCUUGGGCUGAGUCCUGUUGGGCUGAAUUGUCUGCCCCCUCCCCCUGCCCCCGUACCUGCGUUGAAGUCCUAACCCCUCGGUACCUCGGAAUGUGACCGUAUAUGGAGAUAGGGGCUUUAAAGAGAUCAUUAAGUUAAAGUGAGGUCAGUUGGAUGGGUUCUCAUCCACUCUGAGUGCUGUCCUCGUGAAGAGAUUGUGCACAGACACACGCAGAGGGAAGGCUAUGUGAGGACACAGGGAGAAGGUGGCCAUCUGCGAGCCCCGGAGAAAGUCCUCAGAUGAAACCAACCCUGAUGCUACCUUGAUCUCAGACUUUCAGCCUCCAGGAAGGUGAGAGAAUCAAUUUCUGUUAAGCCUCCCAGUCUGCGGUGCUUUCUUAUGGCGGCCAGAACGAACUAACGUGGAGGUUGGGGGACGCCUGGACCACAGUGGUGGCCCCGGCUGCCUGGCUCUGUGGGGAACCAGGGACCAGGCCGGUAGUGAGAACGGGCAGGACGAUGGCGAGCCCUGGGUGCAGGUGUGAGCCUGAGGGUGUUGCCAGUUUAUUUUCCGGUUGGUGCUUUCAUUAUCCUCACACCGUCAGGAAAGUUCUAUGACCUGUCACUGCCUGGCUUCUGCUUUGUGUGGGGCAUUAAGAAGGUCCUCGCUGAGGGGUCGGAAGACAGUCAUGCCACAGGUCUUCAAGUCCAGACUCAGGAAGGGGCAGGAGCGUGCCCACUGGCAGGGGCGGCAUCCUUAGGGCCUCAAGAAUAGCCUGUGGGUCGUUUGAAGAGAACUGGUUUCCUUCAGCGACGCUGGCACACGCUUGUGCGGUUAUCACUUGGAUUACAGGUAGAAUGCAAAUUUUACUAGCCAUGUAACCUUAGGGAAGUUAUUCAAACUCUCCCGUCCUGUUUUUUGGCCCUGGGGAUAAGUGGGGUUCGCAGAGUGUUAUAAGGGUUAAAUGAGACCACGAAUAGAAAGGCUAUGGAAGCACACGGCACUUUGUCUUCGGUGCCAAGUAUUUCCUGAGUUCCUCCUAUGUGCCAGGUUCCACCUUAGGCUUUGAGGAUAUAACAGAAGGUAAGAGGGAAAAAAUGUCCCUGCUCCACAGAGCUUACACGGUAGACAGGGAGCAACUAUAAAGGAAACAGACGUGCAGAAGGAAGUGGGGUCCGCUGGGUCAGAGGCUGGUGCAGAGUCAAGGUGAGAAGAGGAAAGAACCCACGAACAGGUGCUUGCACUCCAUUCACUGGGCCCCUGGGGGCGGAAGGUAGAGCUGAGCCCUGAGCUAAGGAGACAUUGGAAGGGCUGCUGCUUCCUGGAGAAGGGGCUGGAAAACUCUGCUUGUUGGCCCCGGGAAAUAAUUAGGAAGCCUAUUUAUGUCCAGGAGCCUAAGUGGGGGGGGGGGGGGGGGGGAAUCUCCUGUUUAAAAAUAAAAUGAGUUUGGCGGCUCCUCAAAACGUUAAACAUAGACUUGCCAUGUGACCAGGCAAUUCCACUGUGAGGUGUAGAUGUCGAAACAUCGAAAGCAGGGUCUCAGGCUGAUCCGUGUAGAACGACGUUCGUGGUGGCUCUGUUCCCAACAGCCCAGAGGUGGAAACAACCCACCCACAGAUGGCUGAAUAAGCGAAGCGUGGCAUAUGCACACAGUGUUCCUGAACUUGAAUAAGGAGUGAAAUCCUGAUAUGUGCUCAGCGUGGAGGAGCCCUGAAAACAUUAUGCUCAACAACAUAAGCGAGACCCAUAAGGGCAAAUGACCGCGUGAUUCCACUUACAUGAGGAAGGAUGGAACUAUCUCCGCUUUUUAUGCCAGUCUCAUUAACAGCCGCCAGGACAGAUGUGGGGCCCUCAACAGCAGUCCUUCUUCUUCGCAUCCAAAGAAUGGCAGAGAAAGUUAAGAGGCCGAAAUGAGGCACAAAAGUUAGCAUCUUUAUUUUAUAGCAGCUUGGCUAGACUUUGAAGUCUACAUUUUCUGUCCGCACGUGCGUCGUCUUCUGGCUUCCAUAGCUGAUACUGAGAAGGCUGUUUUCAAUUGGACUGUUGUUCUUGACUGAGCGCUCUUUGAGAGCAUGGACCAUGACAUACAUCUGCUGGGGUGUCCUCAUGGCGAGGUCAGAAGCACGGCGCUGAAUCGUAGGCUCCAUCCGUGGCCGUCCAUCUUUGGUGUUAAUGCUUUCUGGGACAGUUGUUUGCCACUCUGGGACCCCUUAUGUGACAGCUCCAUUUGAACCAGCAUGAAAUGUCCCUCCCCGGCUGCAUUCUAGAACCUGGAACCUCCCAAGUAAGACCUAAGCCUGCCUUCACCUGGUGGGGUUAUCUGCUUCCCUGCCUGGACUCCUGUCCAGACCAAGAACGGCACCUUCCUCAUAUGCCUUGGCUCCUGGCACCGAGUUCCUCCUGCCUGUGCUCUCAACAUAACACUAGUGUGGGGGAGCCCCAAGAGAAUCGGGUUCUCAACACCAAGCAUGGUUAUUUUUGGUGAAGUACAGACCACGCAAACCAUGUCUUUAUUUAUGCCCCUGAGCCUGCAUUAGCUCCCUUACCAAACCUGGAAUCCGACUGGCUCCUCUUGAGCAACUUACCUCCCAACAGCCCCUGGUCACCUUCACAUGGAUAGUGGCCAAGGAAGGCUUUUCUCAUUCUGCCGUCAUAACGGUGGCUUCUUUGUUCAGUAUAGCUGUGGGAAAUUUAUUUUCGUCUCUGUUUUUUUGCCAGGAGACUGGAUCAUCAUCUGACAAUAAAGAAAAAUUCCAACCUGAAGGAUUUUGACCACAGAGGAAAGAACUUCCUGAAAGUUCUCUUUCAGGAAGAAUGAUGGGAUGUCCCUGGGGCCAAGAAUCAAAAGUUGUGUUCUUGGCCUCAACCCUGUCUGGCUGCCAUGCUCCUUGUCAGUAGCAUGGAAUUUGCCUCAGCACGAUCUUGUAAGGAUUAUAGGAGGGGGAAAGGCUUUCUAGAGGAGAGAAAGUCUCCUCUCCUUAUAAUCUUGAAUGGACAGCUGAAGGAUACUGUACAGUUUUAGGAACUUUUCCCAUAAAACCACAUUGACUUUCAGAAAAUUAGCUCUCCUGUCACUAGCUAGUGGGAACCUCAGUUCACAAACUCACUGGGGUGUAAGAAAUGCUAUGUUUUUAAUUUCCCCUAAAUCCAAUUCUGAAUCUCUGUUAGUUUCCUAGGCCUGACGUAAUGAAGUACCUCAAGCUGAGUGGCUUAUACAAGAGGAAUGUCUCACAGUUCUGGAGUUUGUGGUGUUCUCCCUGUGCCCCUGUUUCUGUGUCCACAUUUCCGUUAUUUUAAGGAUACAAUCAUAUUGGCUUAGGGCCCACCCUAGUGAUCUCAUUUUAACUUGUAACUUAAUUUUUUUUUUCUAAGAGAACCGAUGAGCUGGGGGGAGGCACAGAGGGAGGGAGAGAGAUAAGCAGGCUCCAUGCUCAGUGCAGAGCCUGAUGGGGGGCUUGAUCCCACGACCUUGGGAUCAUGACCUGAGUUGAAAUCAAGAGUUGGAUACUCAACCAACUUAGCCACCCAGGUCCACAGGGCCAGAGACUCCUUUGUCUUUCACCACCUGUGAGAUUUCCUGUCACUAAGGAGACUCGCCAGUGACACCCACAGAGAAUGGUAGGUCCACAUGAGGCCACCCGGCGGGGACAGGAUGGAAAGCAGAACCAUGGGGACACUUGUGCAGAGUCACACAAUGGCUGCAGGAGACCAAAGAGUGCCUGAUAAGAGUAAGUGGGACGUGCACAUACAGCACGGUUGUGCACACGCACACAUACGUACACGCACGCUGAUGGAGCUUAGCUAACAUGCAUCUCAAAAUUUUAAAACGCAGUAGAUGAAUUAAAAGAAAUUGUAGUCAUUGUGAGAUUUGAGUUAGUGCCCUGGGAGAUCAGGCACGAGACCUAUGUCAUUAACUAAGUUGCUGGAUUCCAAAUGCCCAAAACCUAUUGUCUUUCUCUGUACCGGCAGAAGUAACUAGAAAAAAUAUAUUUUUUAAUGGUGGCUUUUACAACCAGGUCAAGAAAACAUUGGAUACCUGGGAAGAAGUCUAAGGACGUUCAAACCCUCCACACUGAAAACCAUAAAACAUCACUGGAAAAAAAUAAAAAGUCAAAGGAGACCUAAGCAAAUGGGCAGAUAUACAAAGUCCAUGAAGAGGAAACCUAAAUAUUGUUAAAAUGUCAUUUAUUCAAAACUGGUUUAUAGAUUUAAAGUAAUCUCAAUUAAGAUGCCAGUAUUUUUUUUUUUUUAAGUGGCACGCUGAUUCUAAAAAUUCAUUGGGAAAUGCUCCCAUUACCAGUACUUGAGAAUUUUAAUUGUUCCAAAAUCUCAUCAAAUGUUGGUAUUGUCUUUUUAUUUUAUUUUGCUUUAUUUAAAAAUUUUUUAAAGAUUUAUUUGAGAGAGAGAGAGAGAGAGAGAGAGAGAGAGAGAAUGAGUGGGGGAGGGGCAGAGAGAGAGGGAGACCCAUGUCCUUCAUUUCCAGGGGGCUCUUCUGCUGAGAGACGCCACCAUGCACUCAAAGAUCUCAAACCCAGAAAAUACGACAGACGUUUCCUUCAGUGAUUCUCAGCUGGGUGAGCGCUGGAGUGCCAAGGGUUGAAGCAUGUCUUUCUUCCCCCCGACUCUCAAGAUGCCUGGGCAGCCACUUGGGAUCAUCACCCUUUCUUAGAGCCCCCUCGUGCCUGGUGGGAGAGCCAUGCCUCUCAGGCGUGUUGGGACGGCAAAAUGAUUGAGAACCAAGGCACAAGUGGAUGAUCUCAGCGACUUCCAAAAUGGACGGGGGUAUGGCUUUCCCAAGGCUCCAGGAGAAUUAGAAUCCCAGGAAACCUACCUGUGGGGGUACAAGUAUUCUGAGCCAAGGUCUCUGUUUGGUGUGAGUCUUCCGAAACAACCUGAGACUAUUGCAUAUUCCAAGAUACUAAGUUUAAGGCCACUUAAAAAAAAUCUGUAGGUUGCCAGAGUUUUCAUUGUCCUGCAUGUAUUUUACAGAAUAUUUUAUCUGUUCUUAAUAACACCUUUUUGUACUAACGUCUAGGAAGAUAACUCCGAGGUGGUGUAAGCAGCGCCGCUCAGAUUUCCACGUGCGUGUGAAUCACCCGAGGAUCCUGUUAAAAUGCAGAUUCUGAUUCAGAAGGUGCAGGCAAGGGCCUGAGAUUUUGCAUUUUUAAGACGUUCCUGGGCAGGACUGGUUACAGAAUUUGCAGGGCCCUGUGCAAAAUAAAGAGGCAAGAGCCCUUGUUUAAAAAUUACGAAAAAAAAUUCAAGGUCGGGGUGCCUGGGUGGCUCAGUUGGUUAAGCGUCCACCUCUUGAUUUCAGCUCAGGUCAUGAUCUCACAGCGUGUGGGUUCGAGCCCCGCAUCAGGCUCUGGGCUAAGAAUGCGGAACCUAUUUGGGAUUCUCCGUUUCCCUCUCUCUGCCCCUCCUGUUCUCUCUCUCUCUCAAAAGUAAAUAAUAAAUAUUUUAAAAAUCUUUUCAAGGUGAAGGGAGAACGUUCAACCAGUGCGUGAUCCUUCUAACCUCAGAGUCCUCCUGAACGUGGGGCCCCAUAGCACCGUCUGGUCACACACCCACGAGGCCGGCACUUUGCCCAGGUGAUGCCAAAAUGAGCCAGUCUGUAAAACCGGACUCUUCCUUAGACUCCGAGUUCUCAAUAUGGCAGCUCUGACCUGAAUUCCAUCAAGAGAAGUUAGUUCCUCCCGCACCCAAAAUCUCUCACUGUAAGGUGGUCUGGAGAUGAGAGGCCUCAGGUAUCCAACAGUGCGCGGACGGUACAAGGUCCACAUCUACUUACACCUGUCUUCAGAAUUUACUGAUUUGGCGAGACGAUAAACAAGUGAUUCAUAAACCACAGGGCGCUGUAUAAAUAUUGGCCCCUCUACCGUAAGACGCCUUCAACUUGCAACUCGGUGAGAGAAACUGACGCGAGGCCCUCUGGUGCCUUCCUAUGUGUCAGUCCCCAAGUUCAAGCCAGCUCGGCUAUUGUAGAUCCCUGAAAUUCCAUUUAAGUGAAAACCAGAGAGAGAGGAUCCAGGGCGGGCGAAGAAACCGUGAUGAGGAUCUUCAGUGCUUCCGGGAGGCACUGAAAUGUGAAAUAAUUAACCUUUGGAAAGCCUGCGUGGUGACUUGGUAUUUUUCCACCCCACUGAGGCUAAAAGGUUAAUUAAUUUUCCCUGUGUGUAAGAACCAGCCCUACAAUUUAGAAGUGAUGGCCGGAUGCCCCUACCUCCUGAGCAGCAGUGGGAUGGGGGUAUUCUCUUUGUGGGGGUCACCCACCCACAGGGCCGGAGCUCCGGGAGAGGCUCCCAUUCCCUCUCACCCUUUACCUUUGGCCCCCACGGGUGCCUCUGUGGUGUUCUGCCAGAGGUGCCUUCGGGGACCUGCUCCGGGCCCCAUCUGUCUUCCUGCUGGUGACCUCUGUGGGUGCCCCUCCGGGGCUGGUGUUGUUUUCCGGUUUGGCCUCGUCAGCGUCACCACCCACCCUCACAGACGUGGAAUUUCGGAGAAGAAGUGCCCAUUUACCAGGGAUGUGGCCUCGCCCUCCGGGCCAGCUGGCUCAGUGCCAGGACAGCCCUGCCAGGAUGGUCCUCUCUGUUCCGAAAGGAGGCCCCAGAGGUGGAUGCAUCUGUCAGAGCUUGUUCUUUUACGAAUAAUUAGUGCUCUGGUUUUCAGUUUACUGUGAAAUGUGGUGCUGGAGUCCGUUCCUCACCCGGAAUUGAUAAAAGAACUCUCCAUCUUCUUCUCUUGUCCCUCGAUAACUGUGAUUGUCCGCCCGACUGCACAACAGAAUCACCCAGGUGCUUUAGAAGAUACUCAUGUGUGGGGCGCCUGGGGGGCUCACUCAGCGAAGCAUCUGACUUCAGCUUAGGUCCUGCUCACAUGGUUUCGUGGGUUCGAGCCCUGCAUCGGGCUCUGCGUUGACAGUGUGGACCCUGCUUGGGAUUCUCUCUCUUCCCUCUCUCUGCUCCUCCCCCGCUCACGCUUUCUCUCUCUCUC